rnacentral:lncRNA from 1 species
AUGAGUGUUUUUAACCGUCUGGCACCUUUGAUCCCACAAGUACCUGACUCCAGCAGACAAACAAAGGAGCAUCCAAAAGUGUGUUUGUCACCUCCUCUGCCUCUUUCUUCUCCCGUCAUUAAGAAGAAAGCCAUUCAAAUCCCAUCAUUUGAUGAGAAGGGACUUAUCUUUGAAAAACACAACGCAAAGCCAUACACGGCGGACAGAUCCUUUGAUUCAAUUUGGACAUCCAAGACGCCCAGCCCGCCCUCGAGGAGUAAAUCAUGUCAGCAUUCACAGAGAAACCAUGGAGAAAGAGCUUCAACCCUCCCAAGGACCAAGCCUAAAACAUGCAACUCUCAGUAUCUCUCUGCAAAGCCCAGCACCUCCAUUUCUCCUUCUCCUAAGCCAAAUUCCUCUCCCACUCUUCCCGCUGUCAAACCAAAGCCAAGUGAUUCUCUUCAUCUUCCCGCCUCACAGGCGAGUGAUCUUUCUCCAUUACUGCACCAGCCAGCACCAAAGCCAAGUGUAUCUCCAACUCUGACAGUCCCAACACCCAGGCUAAGCCCAUCUCCAACGUCCCUUUGCCAAGGGACGAGCUCAGACGGUCAACCAGUAAAACAGCCUUCUCCUAUUGCAAAAGAAAGACGCGCUAAAUCUAUUCCCAUCUGUAAUGUCAAAGCGGAGACAUCGAAUGAGAUAAAGCAUGAAAUUCUUGACCAGGAUGCUUUACUGGACUUUACUCACCCUGAGAUGAGAAGAGGUCGUCCCAUUAUGAACAGAGAGUCUCAACAUCAGACUUACUCAGAAUCCCACAGACGCCCGGUCACAUCUUCGGAUCUUUGCUUUCUGCAAAGCAAACUUGGACUAAGUAAAAAAGAAACUACUGCCAAAGAUGAAGCAAAGGCUCUGCAAAGGAGUACAGACAUUACUGCAUUACCUAAACCAAAGUGGAACAUCAAUCAGCACCAGGAAUUUCAACCCAGUAGAGUGACAGGUACACAAAUAUCCACUAACUCUAAAGGCAUUAAGUCUGCUAACGUUGCUCACCGGGAGUCUCCAUCAGUGUUUGAUGGACCGGCCACUCUGUCAGGUCCUCAAAGAAAAUAUAAAGACUACCCUCAGAAGAGCAAUUACUCUCAGACCUUACAUUUUACCUCAGCUCACCCACCAUAUGAGCAACUGUAUUCUGAGAAAAAAGCAGCUUUACCCGUGACUCCUCAAACAUCCUUUUCCACUGAGCCUCUUUUUAAUCAGUCAGGCGUUUCGCCAAGCAUCGAGGCAAGGAGGAGACGGUUCGACCUGCACAGUGAAACAAGAUCAGAAGCAGCAUUUCUGUCAGCUUCUCGUCCCAGGAAACAGCAGGAAGAAAACAAUAAUCAGACAAUUACAGGAAACUCUCAUAAAAUCUUUCAUGAAACUGGUGCAUCUCAAAACAUCAAGUCCCCACAGAGACCCCUCAGGUUCCCGUCGAAGGCACAGAGUCAAACUGUGGAUGUAAGGUGUGCAGUGAGUCAGUCUCACUGUUUAUCAAAGGAUUACAGCUGCCAGUCAAGAGAAGCUCAUCAGAAAAUGGAGGCUUCCCACUGCACACACAGGUUAAAUCAGCUUAAGACAUGUCAGGUGGCACCUCAGACCCAGGAGGCCUCCCACCCUGCCUGUGGUGUGUGCACCACCUCACAAAGGGGAUCCUUUUUGAAACCUGACCUUCAGUCACACAGACGUGGCUUAGAUCAGGAACAGUCUCCUCCUCACAAAGAGAUGAAGGUCAGCAGUACAACACUGAAUCAAACAGACAUGUUAGCACCACCUGACCACCGUGGGGUGCCAGCAAAGCUACCAGAACGUCCCUCAGAGAAAUAUGCUGCAAGCUGGCCCCCGUCUGUAGCGCACUGCCCAUUCAGCACAGACAGUUUUGGCCUAAGCUCAAAGGGGGUCUUUGACAGAGUAUACCAGAGCCUGGAAAAGACAACAACAGCAACAACAGCUUCCAGUCUACUAAAUCAGCUGAAUGACUCUGAAAUAGGCAAAGUAUUUUUCUCAGAGGAAUCAGAAGACCCCUAUUACGUCACGAUGUAUUACCCAGGCUCAAUUUAUGUGGGUAAGUACAAAUAUAUUCAAGUCACCUGCAAGAUUUUAACAGAACAAACCCAGCGACAGCGCCUCUUUGAUGCCCCUGCUUUUAUUUGGAGUGGGAGUUGA